rnacentral:misc_RNA from 1 species
AACCUUAUGGACCUGCGGGCGUAUACCUGCGGAGGGAUCAUUACAAGUGACCCCGGUUUACCACCGGGAUGUUCAUAACCCUUUGUUGUCCGACUCUGUUGCCUCCGGGGCGACCCUGCCUUCGGGCGGGGGCUCCGGGUGGACACUUCAAACUCUUGCGUAACUUUGCAGUCUGAGUAAACUUAAUUAAUAAAUUAAAACUUUUAACAAUGGAUCU